rnacentral:rRNA from 1 species
AACGUAGCCUGCAGUCGACGAUUCCUACGGGAGGCAGCAGUGGGGAAUCUUAGACAAUGGGGGAAACCCUGAUCUAGCCAUGCCGCGUGAGUGAUGAAGGCCUUAGGGUCGUAAAGCUCUUUCGCCAGGGAUGAUAAUGACAGUACCUGGUAAAGAAACCCCGGCUAACUCCGUGCCAGCAGCCGCGGUAAUACGGAGGGGGUUAGCGUUGUUCGGAAUUACUGGGCGUAAAGCGCGCGUAGGCGGAUUAGUCAGUCAGAGGUGAAAUCCCAGGGCUCAACCCUGGAACUGCCUUUGAUACUGCUAGUCUAGAGUUCGAGAGAGGUGAGUGGAAUUCCGAGUGUAGAGGUGAAAUUCGUAGAUAUUCGGAGGAACACCAGUGGCGAAGGCGGCUCACUGGCUCGAUACUGACGCUGAGGUGCGAAAGUGUGGGGAGCAAACAGGAUUAGAUACCCUGGUAGUCCACACCGUAAACGAUGAAUGCCAGUCGUCGGCAAGUAUACUUGUCGGUGACACACCUAACGGAUUAAGCAUUCCGCCUGGGGAGUACGGUCGCAAGAUUAAAACUCAAAUGAAUUGACGG